CACGCCCUAAACGAUGUCAACUGGAUGUUGGGCGGGUUAAACCGCUUAGUGUCGUAGCUAACGCGUGAAGUUGACCGCCUGGGGAGUACGGCCGCAAGGCUAAAACUCAAAGGAAUUGACGGGGACCCGCACAAGCGGUGGAUGAUGUGGAUUAAUUCGAUGCAACGCGAAAAACCUUACCUACCCUUGACAUGUCAGGAAUCCUUGAGAGAUUGAGGAGUGCCCGAAAGGGAGCCUGAACACAGGUGCUGCAUGGCUGUCGUCAGCUCGUGUCGUGAGAUGUUGGGUUAAGUCCCGCAACGAGCGCAACCCUUGUCGUUAAUUGCCAUCAUUUAGUUGGGCACUUUAAUGAGACUGCCGGUGACAAACCG
rnacentral:rRNA from 1 species